GUGAGUGCUGCGAUGACGGUGUAUCGCAAUGGUCUGUAAAACCAUCGCCUUCGGGCUUAGCAGGUUCGAAUCCUGCCACUCGCACCA
rnacentral:tRNA from 1 species